AGCACGUUAUGGUGGGCACUCUAAGGAGACUGCCGGUGACAACCGGAGGAAGGUGGGGAGUGACGUCAAGUCAUCAUGGCCCUUACGGCCUGGGCUACACACGUGCUACAAUGGUCGGUACAAAGGGUUGCCAAGCCGCGAGGUGGAGCUAAUCCCAUAAAACCGAAUCGUAGUCCGGAUCGCAGUCUGCAACUCGACUGCGUGAAGUCGGAAUCGCUAGUAAUCGUGAAUCAGAAUGUCACGGUGAAUACGUUCCCGGGCCUU
rnacentral:rRNA from 1 species